GCGUUUACUAGCGAUUCCAACUUCAUGAGGUCGAGUUGCAGACCUCAAUCCGAACUGAGGAGAAUUUUUUGGGGUUUGCUCCAUCUUACGAUUUGGCGUCCCUUUGUGUUCCCCAUUGUAGCACGUGUGUCGCCCAAGGUGUAAGAACCAUGCUGAUUUGACGUCAUCCCCACCUUCCUCCUGCUUAACGCAGGCAGUUCCCUAUGACACAUGAAACAUAGGAUAGGGGUUGCGCUCGUUUUCCGACUUAACGGUACAUCUCACGACACGAGCUGACGACAACCAUGCAGCAUCUGUCUGGCACCCUCGAAGGCUCUCCUGUUUCCAGGAGUCUGCAGCCAGAUGUCAAACCUUGGUGAGGUUCCUCGCUUAUCGUCGAAUUAAACCACAUGCUCCACCGCUUGUGCGGGUCCCCGUCUAUUCCUUUGAGUUUUAGCCUUGCGGCCGUACUCCCCAGGCGGGAUGCUUAAGGCGUUAGCUUG
rnacentral:rRNA from 1 species